rnacentral:rRNA from 1 species
AUGCCGGGCAGCAUCCGAAUCUCAGACAUUCAGCCGCCGGUCACCGCCCCACUCUUCUUGCAAGUUAAUGUAGGGAAGAAAGAGUACAGCGGAGACAUAGGGCAACACGGAUUCUCCCUUCCUGUUACAUCGAUUCGCGAUAGCAUGGUGAUGACGCUGUACAAUGCAGACAAGGAAUUGGUAUCCAAAACAGAGGUGAAGACAAAGUUGAUUGUUGAGUUGGGAACCAUGGAUGCUGUUUUUACUCUUGAUAGUGGAGGGACAAUUAUUCUCCAGUUGCAGUUUUUUCUCAGCGAUGAAGACCGCAAGCGCAUCCAAGAGAUGAGGAACUCUGUGAUGAAAAGAAAGCAGCAAGAGCUGCUUGGGAAUGCCGAUGAACUUUAUUUCCAAGAAGACAGCCCACUGCCUAAAGAGCAUGCAGAAGAUAUCCCCGGCAUCCCAAGCAAAGAUGACCAACUGACGCUUCGGAAGAGCAUGUCGUUGGAUGAUCUGAAAAAGAGGGUCGUCUUCUCCGAAACAAGUGUAGAUUCUGGCAUGGUGGCUUCUAAGGACCUACCGUUGCAAAUUGGUGGUAAUACUUCGAUGCUCGAGGGUCCCAUCGACAUCAACUCCAAGAAAGGACAGGGUAAACCAAAGAGUAGAUCAAGCAGCGCGGUGAAGAAGAUGAUAAGUGCCUUCGAAAGCAGCUCCCCACAGGGUCUGCCUUCGGUGCCAAGGAUCAGAUCAGAGAGCUCGUUGGAAGAGAUGCCAUCGGUUUCUUCUUCAGAGACUUCCACCAACCCUUCACGCAAGCCUCCUACUCCCGGUGCAUCAGUGGACGCUCCAGGCCGCACCCAGACAGGUCCCAGGCCAGGGAAGCAAGCCAUGAUCAUUGGCAACAAGAAACCAAGCACAUCUUCUGGAAAGACCGGCCCGUUAAACACACAAGAAAGCCGAAGACGGAGCUCCAGGCAGAGCGCAGGAGCGAGCGACAUGAUUCGCUCGGAGAAGCGGUCAGCGGAAAAGCGCCGGCGUCGCUCCAUUGGCACCUACUCAUCGGAGCAGCAGGUCAACCCUUGUGGUGCGACGUCUAGCGUCGCGUGGAUCAGCCAUCCGCACGUCUGCAUCACCACUGCGAGCAGGCAGCUGAAAGACAUUGUUGACGUCGAGCACCUGAAUUCGAUGGAGAACUUGGGGAAGGGCGCAGGUGACGGCGCGGCGCGGUGGCCUGAUGGUUUCCCGGUGCUGAAUGGAUGGUUGAUUAACCAGGGUGUGCGUGGUGUGAUAGUGAUCAUAGCUUGCGGAGCUGUGUUUUUCAACAACAGGUGA